AUACGCCCGCAGCCGCCAUCAACGCCCGCGGACCCCUCAGCCUCCUCCUUACCGCCGCGAUCCGCCAGACCACCGCCCCCCCCCCGCACCCGCCGCAGAUCUCGCCAUGGCGGCGCGCACGCCCCCCAGGUCGCAGCCCCGUCACCUUCCUCCCCCACCCCGAACUCCGUCCCCGCCGUAGAUCUCGCCAUCGGUAACACACCUCUCGUUCGCAUCUGACGCGAGCGGUUGGGUUCUCCCGCGCGAGCGGCCGGCGGGUGCGACAGAGGGGUCUUGUGAAGGCCAUCGGCAACACACCUCUCAUUCGCAUCAACAGCCUCUCCGACGUUACAGGAUGCGAGGUUCGCGCGUGGACUCGGCGUCAUCUCCGCGUGGUCCUCGCCCCCCCCCCCCGAGACACCCGCUCGCAAUGUUCGGGAGUCCGCGCCCGCCGUCGAGAGGUACGCCUAGCCCCCCUCGACCCACCGAGACAACCGCUCGCGAUGUCCUCCCUAUCGAGACAGUCGCCGGGACGUACGCCCAGCCGCCUCCUCCACCGCCCACCUACAGCGUCGAGAUUGUCGUCGUCCUCGCGUCUGCCUACCCACCCCCGUUGUGCCCUUGGGCCCGGAUCUGGCCCGACGAACAACGAAUCCCUCUCGCGCGCGCAGCGCCACAGUCGUCGAUCGCAGUGGCAGCCGCCUAGCCAGACGAUUGAGCCCCACCGCUGCUGCCGUCCGUGGAAUGGAGCUGACUGCCGACGAGUUGAGCCGCUCGUGGAAUGGAACUGGCAGCCUCCUCCUCCUCCUCCGCCGCCGGCUGUGGCGACCUCGAAGUGCACGACGCCAAUGACGCUCCGGGGAACAGGUCGUAUCUGAUGAACAAGGCGCGAGCGUUCCUGGAGCUCUUCUUCGCGAUGUGGUUCGUGAUGGGCAACGUGUGGGUGUUCGACGCCCGGCUGGGGUCGUUCCAGCGUGCGCCGAGGCUGUACGCGCUCUGCGUCAGCCUGCUGGCCUGGAACACCGUCGUCUACUCGCUCACGUUCCUGAGUGCUGCAUCUGCCUUGCGUAGUACGGGGAGAAGGAGGAGGUUCGGCAGCUGCCGUGCACACACGUGUUUCAUCUCAAGUGCAUAUACAGGUGGCUCAGGAUCAUCUCCUCUUGCCCUCUCUGCAAGCAAGAGCUCAAGUGAACUUUAUAUUCAUUACACACAUGACAUUCUCGCUUAUUCUUUGGAUCAAGGUGUUAGUAUCCUAGACACAACAGAUAUUUUCCAGCUAACAAGGGAAAUCAAGGAAGAAUUGAUCUUUAUAUUAGCAGGCGGAUGCAAUCACUAAUCAAAACCACGAUGCAAGGUAACCUAAAUGGAUUUUAAAUUUUAUUUUGGAUUGUUAAAUCUUUAUUUCUGACUACUAUUGUUUUAUGUCGUGGAUGCCCUCGUGAGGUUCUACGCCGACGCCUUCAGGAGGGAUUCACAGAGGCCAUGGUGAGGAUGGCCAGCUUGAGUCGGCUCACCGGGAGCAGCGCGAGAUCCGCUACAACUAAAUGAUAGGAGGUUUCGCUGCCAUUUGCAGCGACUGUGUUCCAGUUCGACCGUUUGGGGAAAAGGUGAGUCCUCCCAUUUCAUGUAGAUGCAUGGGUUGAUAAACAUUUGGGAGAAAUGUCCCCUCUUUAAUUCGAAAAAUAGUUGUGUAUUUGUUCGACUUAUCUGCGGCGAUGUACCUUUGUACGCGUACAAACAUCUAUAGACAAAAACAAAAUGACACUUCAUGGAUGUAGCAAGAGCGGGCUACGAGAAACUAGCAGAUCAUGCCUAAAAUUCAAUUAGCAUUAGGGUCAGACAAAAUACUACAUUUUCUGGAUUACAAUAAUGUAUAGGUGCAUGAAAAAAACUUGAUUCCAAUGUGUGACAAAGUGUGAAGAUGAAAGUGCACUUUCACGCUGUCAUAACGCGGAUUUGUUUUCCUUGCUCAUGGAAUGUGCAUUUGUGUGUUUGCGUCUACUGUGCGGCUACAGGCAAGGAA